AUGUUUAGUGCACUAGGUAGCGUGUUAGAAGCCUCGACGUAGUGCGCGUUUCUAGGCAACGCAUCUUGAUUGCGGAUCGAGCCAACGAAGAACUCGAUAGUAAACAAACACGACGCGUUGUAGCUGUAAAGUAGCUCUAAGAGUUUAUUAUACACAUUAUUAUGCCAUAAACGAUGGUGUUUAGGUGUUAAUCCGCUAUGCAGAGCGUUUGUUCAGCUAGUUUAUCAUCACCUGUCCUGUGUUUAUCACACGGCUCAGGGCUGGUGGACUCCGCCAUUGACCACUUCAUCAUCAGGAAUGAUUUCUACUCCGCGUUUGAGGCGUGUGAGAAGGGACUGGAGAGUUUAUCUCGUGUUGAUGCACAGGAACAAACCUGUUCCAGGCAUGGAGAGUUGAAAGCAGCGCUCUGCAUCAUUGGGAUUCAAGCUCUGGCUGAGUUAAACCAGUGGCAUGACGUUCUGAAAUGGGUUUUGCAGCAUUAUGGUGAAACAGAGCAAAUUCCUGCAAAGAUCAUGCAGAUGUGCAUUCUUCUCUACACCAAGGUGACCGAGCAGGCAGCGGUGCAGGAGGAGGUGAGGACAUGGCUGCACUGCUCUGCUAACACGAGUCUGUCAGGUUACAGCAGCGUGGCCGAGCUCUACAUCCUGCAUGUCCUUCUGCCGCUGGGCCAAACCGCCGAGGCCAAGGAGCUGCUGAUGGAUAACGUGGGACAAGUCGCCUUUACAGAGGCUCAGAGACAAACCGCACUGACGAUACUCGAGGAUCAUGAUGCUAAAAAGAAAAACCAUUCAUAUCCAAACCCUGAACCAGUCCCUGUGGAAACAGAGAAAGUGAUGAUAUCUCGAGGGUCAGUGGUGAGGAAGUUGAAUGCAGUUAUGAGGUUGUUGUACAGAGGACUCUCUUUGGCUGGUGUCACUACCUGGUCGCGCUUUAUUCACAGAACCGCUGUUCUUUUAUUCCUGCUCUACCUGCUGCUCAUAAGGAUGGACCCAGCUCUUCCCUCGGCUUAUCCAUGGAUCCUCCGGCUGUAUGUACUCUGGCAGCAGAUGUGGAAUGCCAUGUUUGGUCCAUACUACAGGGUUUCUUCCUGAAAAAUCCAGAAAAGAAAAUGUUAUUUUGAGCAAUAAGUUAUAGAAACACAGAUCUCAGACCAUGUACCAUGGAGGCCAUCGUCAGCAAGUGGAGAAAACGAGGCACCAUACUGACAUCCCUCUAAAACUGACAAAAGGCCAAGAAUAAAAUUUCAACCAUCAUGACAACAGAAUAUUUCAUGUUGCUGAUGAAAGAAAGCCCAUCCAUCCAUCCAUCUUCUGCCGCUUAUCCGGGUCCGGGUCGCGGGGGCAGCAGUCUAAGCAGGGACGCCCAGACUUCCCUCUCCCCAGACACUUCCUCCAGCUCUUUCGGGGGAAUACCGCGGCGUUCCCAGGCCAGCCGAGAGACAUAGUCCCUCCAGCGUGUCCUAGGUCUUCCCCGGGUCCUCCUCCCGGUUGCGCAUUCCUCCCCGGCAUCCAGGGAACACCUCCCCGGGAGGCAUCCAGGAGGCAUCCGGAAAAGAUGCCCGAGCCACCUCAGCUGACUCCUCUCGAUGUGGAGGAGCAGCUGCUCUACUCCGAGCUCCUCCCGAGUGACCAAGCUUCCUACACCCUACGGAGGAAACUCAUUUCGGCCGCCUGUAUCCAGGAUCUUGUCCUUUUGGUCAUGACCCAAAGCUCAUGACCAUAGGUGAGGGCAGGAAUGUAGAUCAACUGGUAAAUGGAGAGCUUCGCCUUGCAUCGACCGCAUCAAUGCAGAGGCUACACCGAUCCGCCUGUCGAUGUGUUUAUAACAGAGCUAGUCAAUAAGAACCUGGUUAAUGAGUAACUGGUUAACUUCCAGGAAUCAUCAAUCUAUCCCACUCUAUUAGUAUUGUCUGUCUAUCUGUCUGUCUUUUCAACUGUAUUGGCAUCAUUAUUAAUGGAGAGAAUUUAUGUCACUUUUUUCUGAAAAUGUUUCAACUUUUUUAAACAUUAAACAGUCU